rnacentral:rRNA from 1 species
AGAGUUUGAUCAUGGCUCAGAAUUAACGCUGGCGGCAUGCCUAACACAUGCAAGUCGCACGAGAAAGCCCGGUUCGCCGGGCGAGUAAAGUGGCGCACGGGUGAGUAACGCGUGGAUAAUCUACCUCUAUCUGGGGGAUAACGCACCGAAAAGGUGCGCUAAUACCGCAUAUUCCGGCGAAAUUUCGGUUUUGUCGGUAAAGGUGGCCUCUUGAUCAAAGCUACCGGGUGGAGAUGAGUCCGCGUCCCAUUAGCUUGUUGGUAGGGUAACGGCCUACCAAGGCGACGAUGGGUAGCUGGUCUGAGAGGACGAUCAGCCACACUGGAACUGGUACACGGUCCAGACUCCUACGGGAGGCAGCAGUGAGGAAUAUUGCGCAAUGGGGGAAACCCUGACGCAGCGAUGCCGCGUGGGUGAAGAAGGCCUUCGGGUCGUAAAGCCCUGUCAAGCGGGAAGAACAGCGACGAGACCAAUAAUCUCGUCGUGUGACGGUACCGCUGAAGGAAGCACCGGCUAACUCCGUGCCAGCAGCCGCGGUAAGACGGAGGGUGCGAGCGUUAUUCGGAUUUAUUGGGCGUAAAGAGCGUGUAGGCGGUUGGUCAAGUCAGAUGUGAAAGCCCAGGGCUUAACCCCUGGAAGUGCAUUUGAAACUGGUCGACUUGAGUUCGGGAGAGGGAAGUGGAAUUCCGGGUGUAGAGGUGAAAUUCGUAGAUAUCCGGAGGAACACCGGUGGCGAAGGCGACUUCCUGGACCGAAACUGACGCUGAGACGCGAAAGCGUGGGGAGCAAACAGGAUUAGAUACCCUAGUAGUCC